GAAAGAGAAACACAGCAGGAAAGUACCGAAUAAAUUUAAUUUUAGUCUGCCAUGGGCAAGUUAUCAUCCUCUAUCUUGCUUUCUUUGCAUAAGAAUGUAUUAUGUUACUGAGAAUGAAGCUUAAAAAAAUAUUUGGUUUAUUGAUAUCAGUGGGAUGUUCUUAUGUGGAUUUUGAGAUCAGCUUAGUCAGGGAAAAAAGAGUGUCCAAAAAAAAAAAAAAAAGAAAAAGAAAAAAUAGACAUGUGAAAGUGACUUUUACUUACUUAUAUUGGCAAUUCUUGUGAGAGGUCUUGCAGUUUAAGAAAACUCACAAUGACAUAAAAUUGGUUACUUAAGACACACCUAAGUUUUUAAUUGUAUUUCUAGCAUCUUUUAUCAUGAGAAAAUAGCAAAAAAACCAAAUCACAACUCUUGCAAAUUAAUCUAGUUUGGGGAAGAAAAUAGAUUUUUGGAAUAAAAAUCUUCCAUGCAGUUCAAUCUGGUUAAAACACCGUAACACUUUCUGUUUCUUCAAAGAGGAGAGUAAUAUUUUUAAAAAAAAAAAACAACCUAGAAGUCUUCUCAAAUAGUACUUGCAAAAACCCCUCUCCCAUAGCUGUUUCUCAGGGUCAUGUUGUUGUGGACGUCAAGGCUGAAAUGAGCUGUUUUCCAAGCUAUUACUCCAGGCAAGGAAAAUUGUCUUUUGCAGCAGGAAGGAUAAAGAAUGGGAGAAAGGCUGGUUUUGCUACUGAAUAAUAAGUACCAAGGAAGAAUUCGAUUACUUGAUCCAGAGUCUCAGAGCACCAAAGCUGGUCCUGCAACAUCUGAGAAAUAUAAGAAAAAGAAACCUGCUUCUUCCCACUGCUUUCAAAAAGGAGUUGAUGGGGUACUUGCCACCAACAAAAAAUUCCUCUGUCAUGAGACUGCUGAAGUCAGUGGCUGUGCAGCCUGAGUCCCAGGAUAAGAUAAUUAUUACUCUGAUCUGGUAAUGAAAGUUAUUGUAGCAUAUAUGAUCAAAAUGGACCUUGUCCAUAAUUUGUAGCAUAGCAACUAGGUAAGUGAAGAAAAAACCCAGUUGAUGUAUCUGCCAGUAAUUGAUUUUUUUCCCUGUAUAAGGAAGAGCUGAUUAUGCAACAACGCAAUCCUUGGGAUUAUUAAGGAAAAAAAUAAAAUAAAAUAAAAUAAAAUAAAAUAAAAUAAA
rnacentral:lncRNA from 1 species